UCCCAGGAUCUGUUCUUUUGCCUACUCCUAAGUAAGUGGUGGGCAAUUUUAUUGUGACGCCACAUGAGCAUAUAUUUCUCAAGAACGAUGUUUAUAGAUGUGUAUGUUAUAUAUAUUAUGGUAGUGAAGAAGGUAAUUGAAUUAGUAUUGAUCCUUGCAAUUGUUGAUCAUGCCCAGCUAUGUUAUCACGUAGUUCAAACAUUUCAUCUGUUUUGAGCUGCAGAUAAAUGAGUGGAACCUAGUAUGUAAAAUUAUUGAAUGUGUACUUUU
rnacentral:misc_RNA from 1 species